rnacentral:rRNA from 1 species
UAGGGAAUUUUCCACAAUGGACGAAAGUCUGAUGGAGCAACGCCGCGUGAACGAUGAAGGUCUUCGGAUUGUAAAGUUCUGUUGUUAGGGACGAAACAGUGCCGUUCGAAUAGGGCGGCACCUUGACGGUACCUAAUUAGAAAGCCACGGCUAACUACGUGCCAGCAGCCGCGGUAAUACGUAGGUGGCAAGCGUUGUCCGGAUUUAUUGGGCGUAAAGCGCGCGCAGGCGGCUAUGUAAGUCUGAUGUUAAAGCCCGAGGCUCAACCUCGGUUCGCAUUGGAAACUGUGUAGCUUGAGUGCAGAAGAGGAAAGCGGUAUUCCACGUGUAGCGGUGAAAUGCGUAGAGAUGUGGAGGAACACCAGUGGCGAAGGCGGCUUUCUGGUCUGUAACUGACGCUGAGGCGCGAAAGCGUGGGGAGCAAACA